rnacentral:tRNA from 1 species
GGGGUUUUAGCUUAGUGGUAGAGCACAUGUUUAGCAUGCAUGAGGCUCAAUCCUCA